rnacentral:rRNA from 1 species
GUGCCAGCAGCCGCGGUAAGACGGAGGGGGCUAGCGUUGUUCGGAAUGACUGGGCGUAAAGGGCGUGUAGGCGGUUGAUCAAGUCAGGCGUGAAAGCCCCGGGCUUAACCCGGGAACUGCGUUUGAUACUGGUUGACUUGAGGACGAGAGAGGAAAGCGGAAUUCCGAGUGUAGAGGUGAAAUUCGUAGAUAUUCGGAGGAACAUCAGAGGCGAAGGCGGCUUUCUGGCUCGUAUCUGACGCUGAGGCGCGAAAGCGUGGGGAGCAAACAGGAUUAGAUACCCUGGUAGUCC